rnacentral:lncRNA from 1 species
CACAAGUAAAUUUAACCAACAUGAAGUUAGCUCUGUUUGUCCACUGUGUCAAUAUGAAGAUGAGGAUAUAGUUCAUUUCAUUUUAAAAUGCAACGCUCUAUUUAAAUACAGAAAAUCAUAUAUAGAAGAAUUGGAAGUGAUAAUAAACAGCAUAAGUAAUCCAAAUACGUGCUCAUGGAAUAGUCUGGUUGAUGAUUUUGGUCUAUUAACACAGUUGAUUCUUGACCCUAGUGUUUUGAUAAAACAGAAAAUAUUGUCAUGUAGUGAAAAGACUCUCACUAAAAUAGAGGAUUGCUCACGAAAAUUGUGCUUCUCCCUACAUUGUGGAAGAUCAUUGAUCAUAAACUCUGAACAUUGAUUGUCAAACUUAGAACUGUGAUAAUAAACUCAGAUUAGUGAUUAUAAACUCAGAACAUUGACUUUAAACUCAAGAGACAUCAAGGGUGUACAUAUUCUAAGGCUCUUAACCCAAAUGUUUAUAUUGAAUUUAUAUUGAAUUUCUAUGUAAAUAGUAUUGAUAAGAUAAUCCCUUUAAUGUGACUAUACAUAUCAUUAAUGAACAUUUACCCAUUUAUGGGGUGCACCAAUAUAGUGGUGGAUAAUACAUACCAAAGAAGAAGAAGUC